CAAAAUUUCUCCUGCGUGAAAAUUUAUUACUGUUAAUAAUUUCAUCUGUUUAAGCAUAUUUUUUGUUUGCUUACGAAUUAAUCCCUGCACUUUGCUGAUUUUAUUUUACUUUCUGAAUUUAUACUAGCUGAACCCCCCUUUGCAGAAUCACAGCGACAUUGUCUAGGAGCGUUACAGAUUUCUUGCUGAAAGAUUUUGUUUUUGAAAAGUGCAUUCUGAUGUGAAACUAAUUUGUAAUUAGAAGAUAUGAGCAUUUUUUCUGUUCAUUUCACCGGAAAUAGAACUCUAAUCCAAAGCCCAUGAAGACGACUAUGAUAAAUAAUAAACAGGAUCUGAAUUCAAGUCUUCAGCUAGCAUUUGAAUAAAUUCUAACGAUGACCAUUUAGGCUUAAUAGUUUACCAUUGCUGAUCUGGAUCUUAUUAUGCAUAUUAAGAUCAAUUCUGGUCAACUAUUCAGCUAGUAAUCUUAUUGUAUGGUUUGAAGUUGAAAUAUCUGCAUUGCUCUGCUCUGUUGGGGAUCAUUUUAAAUUGUAAACUGGAAUCAGUGUAAGUUAAUAUAAAUGUUUUGUUUUA